GAGGACUGUUGGGCAGAGGCUGGGGUGAUGCGGAGGUGGGGAGAUUUAAGCGGAUUUACUUGGCGGAAAGCAGACGUAGGAGGAUUGUUAAGGAGGAUGUGAAAGCACCGAGCUUAACUGGGGAAGUGCAGUCGAUACUGGGAAGCUAGAGUAUGGGAGAGGAUGGUAGAAGUCCAGGUGUAGCGGUGAAAUGCGUAGAGAUCUGGAGGAAUACCGAUGGCGAAGGCAGCCAUCUGGCCUAAUACUGACGCUGAGGUACGAAAGCAUGGGGAGCAAACAGGAUUAGAUACCCGUGUAGUC
rnacentral:rRNA from 1 species